rnacentral:rRNA from 1 species
GAUGAACGCUGGCGGUAUGCUUAACACAUGCAAGUCGAACGGAGUGCUUCGGCACUUAGUGGCGGACGGGUGAGUAACGCGUGAGAAUCUGGCUUCGGGUUCGGGACAACAGUGGGAAACUGCUGCUAAUACCGGAUGUGCCUAAGGGUAAAAGAUUGAUUGCCCGAAGAUGAGCUCGCGUCCGAUUAGCUAGUUGGUGUGGUAAGAGCGCACCAAGGCGUCGAUCGGUAGCUGGUCGGAGAGGACGAUCAGCCACACGGGGACUGAGACACGGCCCAGACUCCUACGGGAGGCAGCAGUGGGGAAUUUUCCGCAAUGGGCGAAAGCCUGACGGAGCAAUACCGCGUGAGGGAGGAAGGCUCUUGGGUUGUAAACCUCUUUUCUCAGGGAAGAAAAAAAUGACGGUACCUGAGGAAUCAGCAUCGGCUAACUCCGUGCCAGCAGCCGCGGUAAAAC